GGGAGUAUAGCUCAGUGGGAGAGUGCAUGCUUGGCAUGCACGACGUCCUGGGUUCCAUCCCCAGUGCCUCCC
rnacentral:tRNA from 1 species